rnacentral:rRNA from 1 species
CGGCACGGGUGAGUAACACGUAUCCAACCUGCCGUCUACUCUUGGACAGCCUUCUGAAAGGAAGAUUAAUACAAGAUGGCAUCAUGAGUCCGCAUGUUCACAUGAUUAAAGGUAUUCCGGUAGACGAUGGGGAUGCGUUCCAUUAGAUAGUAGGCGGGGUAACGGCCCACCUAGUCUUCGAUGGAUUGGGGUUCUGAGAGGAAGGUCCCCCACAUUGGAACUGAGACACGGUCCAA